CAAAAUAUUUUAUACCUAUAUACAGUAGUUAUAAAAGUAUACAGGAUUAAAUGUGUAACCAGAAGUGUUGUGUAUGAAUUAAAUAAAUUAAUCAAUGUAAAUCUAAAGCAAUCAUACCUUUUCUGAUAAAACCAUGAUAGAAAGGCAUAAAAUGCCAUUUUAACAAUUAUUUUGUCUUUUACUUUUCUUGGUCAUACAGUCUCAAAGAGAGAAAUUCUGUCUGUCUGGAUUCUCUGGAACGCUUUGUAACAAUUGAAAUCCAAAACAAAUUAUUUCUAAUAUAUUGAAUAAGCACACACACACUUAGAUGUAUAAACAUAUAUGCAGGAGCAGAAAUCAAUCAGAAAAAAGGCUUUGUAAAUGUAAACUUCAGCAUCAAUAGCUGUUAAUUUACUCAUGAAUAGCAUUGUUGGUGUCAGCUUGUACAUUGUUGGUAGUAAUAAAAAAAAUAUUGCUUAACAUUUACAAAUAUUAGAGGCAGAAGAAAAGUUGCAAAUUUUUUUCUUUAUUUAUAAAUAAAAAUAAAUUGAAACAUGUUACAUGAAUGUUGUAUUCCAAUGAUGAUUUACAAUGUACAAAACAAAGAUUUGGGAAAAUAGUUAAUAGUUUAUUGUUAUGAAAUUAUAUAUAUUUGGCACUUUCUUUUGUCUCAUUAUUUCAAUUUUUGUACAGUUACAUUUUUUUAUAUAUAAUUCAUGUUUUAUUAUCUUAAUUAAUAUAAAUGUGUUAGUUGACAAAAUGUAAAGAUAUUUUGAGUAAAAAUGAUAGGUGUAAGACAAGUGCACAAAUGGUUAGGGGAAUGAUUGGACUUUUUGUGCAUGGUUGAAAAAUCAAAUUUAGGACAAGCCACCUUUCGCACUAUAU
rnacentral:lncRNA from 1 species